UCGGAGAGCUGCAGAUUGAAAUCCUGUCCACAGCACGCCACAGAUUGGAAGUCUGCAUUUUCGGCAGAAACACUCGAUUUAUCACCAUUUCUUCAUCAAGCCCAGCUACUUCGCUUUGGUAGAUAGUAUAAAUGCCUGCGAGCUUGAAAGGCACGGCAUCUGCACACCGCUAUAACAAGAAGCCCUUGUUGGAUUUCAUUCAAUUAUCACCGAACAACAUGAGAAACUCGGAAUACGUUGCUGGAGGAAAACAAUGAAUUUAAACAUUUCGAAAAAACUACAAGUGCUCCAUGCGCUGUUCGGUCUAUGAAAACAAGUCUAUAUCUGUAUAUCGCAAAUUUGCUUACUUCCGCCCUUAUUGGUUCUAUUGAGUUUCGCCCAAUUGGAAAGCUGCCUCAAUCGUUUAUCACUGCUGAUAAUUGAGUAGCGUAUCAAAAACCUUUUGAAUUGCUUUAAAAAAAACUCGUCUAGAGUCAUAUUGUUAUAAUAUUACAUAUUAAAUAUUAAUUAUUACAUA